AUUGAACGCUGGCGGAAUGCUUUACACAUGCAAGUCGAGCGGCAGCGCGGGGCAACCUGGCGGCGAGCGGCGAACGGGUGAGUAAUGCAUCGGAACGUACCCAGUCGUGGGGGAUAACUGUCCGAAAGGACAGCUAAUACCGCAUACGUCCUGAGGGAGAAAGCGGGGGAUCGCAAAGACCUCGCGCGAUUGGAGCGGCCGAUGCCGGAUUAGCUAGUUGGUAGGGUAAAGGCCUACCAAGGCGACGAUCCGUAGCUGGUCUGAGAGGACGACCAGCCACACUGGAACUGAGACACGGUCCAGACUCCUACGGGAGGCAGCAGUGGGGAAGUUUUUGGUACGAAAUAGGGGGGCGAACCCCGUGAAUCCAGCCAUUCCGCGUGAGUG
rnacentral:rRNA from 1 species